GAUACUAUUUUUUUAGUAUUACGGUACUCCUAUUUUUAUUGUACUGAAGGCAAGUUAUUUUCAUGUCCUACUCAUCUAUAUCGCAACCUACUUUUAUAUAUAUUUUUUUUUAGGAAAAAGUAUGUGUAAAAGAAAAAGCAAUUUAAUACAAUCUGUCUCAGGCGUUGUAAUUUUUUUAUGACGUUUAAAUAGUAUUGACACUAAUGUCGCGAAGGAAAAACGUAAAAUUGUAAUAUAUUUUAUAUUUUUUAAAUAGGCUUUUUUCUUAUUUAUAAGAAAAGCUUGUUUAUACAUAUAGGUUGUUUUAUAUACUUUUUCGUGAAGAAAAGUAUAUAUAUAUAUCUAUAUGUCCUGUACUAUGUAUCACUGAGAUAUAACAGUUGUAUAUUAAAAAAUUGGGUUAUAUGUAUAAAGCAUAUAAUUAAAAUAUUAAGAGUUAUGAAGAAUGCAUACAAUAAUAUUAUAUAUAUAUUAUUGCUUCAUAAUAUCUGAACAACUUUUGUUAGGAAGUGUACAUAUAGAUCUAGCUAGUUGUACCUCACGUUCUCGCUUAGAGGAUUAUUUGAAAGACAGAAAGGCCUUAUACAAUAAUGUUAUAUUUAAUUAUGGCAUUAGCUUUUUAGCACGUAUAAGCUCUUACAUAGGAUAUUUCGGUAUGGACGAUCCUUUGACCACUAGUCGUUUUUGUUUGGUGAACCCACACACUCACGUCAGUUCUUGGUGACCCUGUAUCGAUCUUGUCACUAUGAAUAGAUACAUUGCCUUUUUGUGGCUAUAUAUAUAUAUAUAUAUAUAUAUAUAUAUAUAUGUAUGUAUACUGAGAUAUAACAGUUGUAUAUUAAAAAAUUGGGUUAUAUGUAUAAAGCAUAUAAUUAAAAUAUUAAGAGUUAUGAAGAAUGCAUACAAUAAUAUUAUAUAUAUAUUAUUGCUUCAUAAUAUCUGAACAACUUUUGUUAGGAAGUGUACAUAUAGAUCUAGCUAGUUGUACCUCACGUUCUCGCUUAGAGGAUUAUUUGAAAGACAGAAAGGCCUUAUACAAUAAUGUUAUAUUUAAUUAUGGCAUUAGCUUUUUAGCACGUAUAAGCUCUUACAUAGGAUAUUUCGGUAUGGACGAUCCUUUGACCACUAGUCGUUUUUGUUUGGUGAACCCACACACUCACGUCAGUUCUUGGUGACCCUGUAUCGAUCUUGUCACUAUGAAUAGAUACAUUGCCUUUUUGUGGCUAUAUAUAUAUAUAUAUAUAUAUAUAUAUAUAUAUGUAUGUAUGUCAACAUAAGAUGUAUCUAUUGAGAGGGACUUUAAGAAAAUAUACAGCCAGAGGAUAAAAA
rnacentral:rRNA from 1 species